rnacentral:rRNA from 1 species
GAGGAAUAUUGGUCAAUGGAGGCAACUCUGAACCAGCCAUGCCGCGUGCAGGAAGACUGCCCUAUGGGUUGUAAACUGCUUUUAUACGGGAAGAAACAACUCUACGUGUAGAGUCUUGACGGUACCGUAAGAAUAAGCACCGGCUAACUCCGUGCCAGCAGCCGCGGUAAUACGGAGGGUGCAAGCGUUAUCCGGAAUCAUUGGGUUUAAAGGGUCCGCAGGCGGUCGAUUAAGUCAGAGGUGAAAUCCCAUAGCUUAACUAUGGAACUGCCUUUGAUACUGGUUGACUUGAGUUAUACGGAAGUAGGUAGAAUAAGUAGUGUAGCGGUGAAAUGCAUAGAUAUUACUUAGAAUACCGAUUGCGAAGGCAGCCUACUACGUAUAUACUGACGCUCAUGGACGAAAGCGUGGGGAGCGAAC